GGAUGAAGAACGCAGCGAAAUGCGAUACGUAAUGUGAAUUGCAGAAUUCAGUGAAUCAUCGAGUCUUUGAACGCACAUUGCGCCCCCUGGCAUUCCGGGGGGCAUGCCUGUCCGAGCGUCAUUGCUGCCCUUCAAGCCCGGCUUGUGUGUUGGGUCGUCGUCCCCCCCGGGGGACGGGCCCGAAAGGCAGCGGCGGCACCGCGUCCGGUCCUCGAGCGUAUGGGGCUUUGUCACCCGCUCGAUUAGGGCCGGCCGGGCGCCAGCCGGCGUCUCCAACCUUCUAUUUUACCAGGUUGACCUCGGAUCAGGUAGGGAUACCCGCUGAACUUAAGCAUAUCAAUAAGCGGAGGA
rnacentral:misc_RNA from 1 species